rnacentral:rRNA from 1 species
CCUACGGGUGGCAGCAGUCGAGAAUCAUUCACAAUGGGGGAAACCCUGAUGGUGCGACGCCGCGUGGGGGAAUGAAGGUCUUCGGAUUGUAAACCCCUGUCAUGUGGGAGCAAAUUAAAAAGAUAGUACCACAAGAGGAAGAGACGGCUAACUCUGUGCCAGCAGCCGCGGGAAUACAGAGGUCUCAAGCGUUGUUCGGAAUCACUGGGCGUAAAGCGUGCGUAGGCUGUUUCGUAAGUCGUGUGUGAAAGGCGCGGGCUCAACCCGCGGACGGCACAUGAUAAUGCGAGACUAGAGUAAUGGAGGGGGAACCGGAAUUCUCGGUGUAGCAGUGAAAUGCGUAGAUAUCGAGAGGAACACUCGUGGCGAAGGCGGGUUCCUGGACAUUAACUGACGCUGAGGCACGAAGGCCAGGGGAGCGAAAGGGAUUAGAUACCCCAGUAGUC